rnacentral:rRNA from 1 species
GUGAGGAAUUUUCCGCAAUGGGCGAAAGCCUGACGGAGCAAUGCCGCGUGAAGGAUGAAGGCCUAUGGGUUGUAAACUUCUUUUCUCAGAAAAGAAUUAUGACGGUAUCUGAGGAAUAAGCAUCGGCUAACUCUGUGCCAGCAGCCGCGGUAAGACAGAGGAUGCAAGCGUUAUCCGGAAUGAUUGGGCGUAAAGCGUCUGUAGGUUGUGUAAAAAGUAUUCUGUCAAAGAUUAGGGCUUAACCCUAGAUAGGCAGAAUAAACUUUUAAGCUAGAGUUUGGUAGAAGCAGAGGGAAUUCCCGGUGGAGCGGUGAAAUGCGUAGAUAUCGGGAGGAACACCAAAGGCGAAGGCACUCUGCUGGGCCAAUACUAACACUGAGAGACGAAAGCGAGGGGAGCAAAUGGGAUUAGAAACCCUAGUAGUCC